UUUUUACGGAUUCAUGAGAUUCUUUUAGCCCGGCACCUGCAGCGUGCCAACUGUAUGGCAGCACCACAGCUGAACCAGGCGAUGAACGUUCAUCUCAUGAAUGAUCGUGCUCCUCGCUGGAGACAGAGAGCAGUUGCCAGAAAUUCUCUCUCAGCCCAGCACGGCAAGACCCUUCCUAGAGGUCAGAGGCAGCUGGCUGUAGAGAGAGCCAAGCCUUACCAUCUGCCUUCAUCCGGACCAAGAGAAGCUGCAAGACCAAAGCCAUUCUCAACAGUAACAAAACCAGCUAAUGCAGGAAAUGUGGAUCCAAGGGCACCUUUCAGCAGUCGUGUGUUGGCCAAAGUUAGAGAGUUAUGGGUAGGAAAUGAGCAGAAACCCAGUUGAGAGAGAGUUUUUCUGUUAUGAUAAUGUUUGUUAUGCAAAAUACAUAUAUUUAUAUUAUGGUAAAUCUGUUUAGAGAAUUUAAGAGAGCUGAAACUAAAACAAUGAUUACCAUCAAGCUAUUGGUGUACACAUCUUGCUAGACUUGAUUGUGUGAUCAAAUAGUGAUCUCUUCCCACUUGCUGACACAU